AGUGAACGCUGGCGGUAGGCCUAACACAUGCAAGUCGAACGGCAGCACAGUAAGAGCUUGCUCUUACGGGUGGCGAGUGGCGGACGGGUGAGGAAUACAUCGGAAUCUACUUUUUCGUGGGGGAUAACGUAGGGAAACUUACGCUAAUACCGCAUACGACCUACGGGUGAAAGCAGGGGAUCUUCGGACCUUGCGCGAUUGAAUGAGCCGAUGUCGGAUGAGCUAGUUGGCGGGGUAAAGGCCCACCAAGGCGACGAUCCGUAGCUGGUCUGAGAGGAUGAUCAGCCACACUGGAACUGAGACACGGUCCAGACUCCUACGGGAGGCAGCAGUGGGGAAUAUUGGACAAUGGGCGCAAGCCUGAUCCAGCCAUACCGCGUGGGUGAAGAAGGCCUUCGGGUUGUAAAGCCCUUUUGUUGGGAAAGAAAAGCAGCAGGUUAAUACCCCGCUGUUCUGACGGUGCCCAAAGAAUAAGCACCGGCUAACUUCGUG
rnacentral:rRNA from 1 species